rnacentral:lncRNA from 1 species
GCCUUGCCGGAGCAUCAUUAGACGCCCAGUAUAUGGAAAAGACAGGUGUGGCUUCCUGGUUUCCCUUGGGAUGAAAUUAUGGAGAGGAAGGGGAGGGUGAAGGGAUGACAGGAACUGUCGGAAUGACUGAGAUGCAUUGCAUACAAAAAGACCUGAUGCAGCCCUAAUAGUGACUCUUUUAUGCAAGGCAGCUCAUCCCCCAGAGACGACUUUCUCCCACAAUGCCCUGACCCUGAGAUCUAUGUGUGGAAUUCUCUGCUCAUUUAUCAGUGUGGGCCUGCUCCUCUCCCUGCGCACUCUCAUUUUUUCACAGUCCCGAUCCUGGUACUGUUGCACCCCAAACUACAUCUGUGUAACUCUCAGACUUGCACACAACCGAGCAUACCUACAGCUGUGGGAAAAGUUAUGUGUUUUUCUCUCCAAAUUCAAAAUAUAAACACUUAAGAUAACAAAACAUAACUAAAUUAACAUAAAUAUUUUAGUU